GAUGAACGCUGGCGGCGUGCCUAAUACAUGCAAGUCGAGCGAACGGACGAGAAGCUUGCUUCUCUGAUGUUAGCGGCGGACGGGUGAGUAACACGUGGAUAACCUACCUAUAAGACUGGGAUAACUUCGGGAAACCGUAGCUAAUACCGGAUAAUAUUUUGAACCGCAUGGUUCAAAAGUGAAAGACGGUCUUGCUGUCACUUAUAGAUGGAUCCGCGCUGCAUUAGCUAGUUGGUAAGGUAACGGCUUACCAAGGCAACGAUGCAUAGCCGACCUGAGAGGGUGAUCGGCCACACGGGAACUGAGACACGGUCCAGACUCCUACGGGAGGCAGCAGUAGGGAAUCUUCGGCAAUGGGCGAAAGCCUGACGGAGCAACGCCGCGUGAGUGAUGAAGGUCUUCGGAUCGUAAAACUCUGUUAUUAGGGAAGAACAUAUGUGUAAGUAACUGUGCACAUCUUGACGGUACCUAAUCAGAAAGCCACGGCUAACUACGUG
rnacentral:rRNA from 1 species